GAUGAACGCUAGCGGCAGGCUUAACACAUGCAAGUCGAGGGGCAGCGCGGGAUAGCAAUAUCCUGGCGGCGACCGGCGGAAGGGUGCGUAACGCGUGAGCGACAUGCCCGUUGCCCGGGGACAACCGGUGGAAACGCCGACUAAUCCCCGAUGGGAUAUUGUGCCGCAUGGCACGAUAUUGAAAGUUACGGCGGCGACGGAUUGGCUCGCGUCCGAUUAGCUUGUUGGCGGGGUAACGGCCCACCAAGGCUGCGAUCGGUAGGGGUUCUGAGAGGAAGGCCCCCCACAAUGGGACUGAGACACGGCCCAUACUCCUACGGGAGGCAGCAGUGAGGAAUAUUGGACAAUGGGCGGAAGCCUGAACCAGCCAUGCCGCGUGCGGGAAGGAGGCCCUAUGGGCUGCGAACCGCUUUUGCCUGGGGGCAAUAAGGGCGUCGCGCACGUCCGAUGAGAGUACCAGGCGAAUAAGCAUCGGCUAACUCCGUG
rnacentral:rRNA from 1 species